GACGAACGCUGGCGGCGUGCUUAACACAUGCAAGUCGAACGGUGAACGAGGGAGCUUGCUCCCUCCGGAUCAGUGGCGAACGGGUGAGUAACACGUGAGCAAUCUGCCCCGAACUCUGGGAUAAGCGUUGGAAACGACGUCUAAUACCGGAUACGACGCGGGAGGGCAUCCUCUCCGCGUGGAAAGAACUUCGGUUCGGGAUGAGCUCGCGGCCUAUCAGCUUGUUGGUGAGGUAACGGCUCACCAAGGCGACGACGGGUAGCCGGCCUGGGAGGGUGACCGGCCAAACGGGGACUGGGACACGGCCCAGACUCCUACGGGAGGCAGCAGUGGAGAAUGUUGCACAAUGGGCGCAAGCCUGAUGCAGAAACGCCGCGUGAGGGACGACGGCCUUCGGGUUGUAAACCUCUUUUAGCAGAGAAGAAGCGAAAGUGACGGUACCUGCAGAAAAAGCACCGGCUAACUACGUG
rnacentral:rRNA from 1 species